AUUGAACGCUGGCGGCAUGCCUUACACAUGCAAGUCGAACGGUAACAGGUCUUCGGAUGCUGACGAGUGGCGAACGGGUGAGUAAUACAUCGGAACGUGCCUAGUAGUGGGGGAUAACUACUCGAAAGAGUGGCUAAUACCGCAUGAGAUCUACGGAUGAAAGCAGGGGAUCGCAAGACCUUGUGCUACUAGAGCGGCCGAUGGCAGAUUAGGUAGUUGGUGGGAUAAAAGCUUACCAAGCCGACGAUCUGUAGCUGGUCUGAGAGGACGAUCAGCCACACUGGGACUGAGACACGGCCCAGACUCCUACGGGAGGCAGCAGUGGGGAAUUUUGGACAAUGGGGGCAACCCUGAUCCAGCAAUGCCGCGUGCAGGAAGAAGGCCUUCGGGUUGUAAACUGCUUUUGUACGGAACGAAAAGGCUCUGGUUAAUACCUGGGGCACAUGACGGUACCGUAAGAAUAAGCACCGGCUAACUACGUGCCAGCAGCCGCCGUAAUAC
rnacentral:rRNA from 1 species